rnacentral:rRNA from 1 species
GAAUCAAUAACUGGGGUGAAGUCGUAACAAGGUAGCCGUAUCGGAAGGUGCGGCUGGAUCACCUCCUUUCUAAGGAGA